rnacentral:rRNA from 1 species
UACGUAGGGGGCAAGCGUUGUCCGGAAUUAUUGGGCGUAAAGCGCGCGCAGGCGGCUUCUUAAGUCUGAUGUGAAAGCCCACGGCUCAACCGUGGAGGGUCAUUGGAAACUGGGGAGCUUGAGUGCAGAAGAGGAGAGUGGAAUUCCACGUGUAGCGGUGAAAUGCGUAGAUAUGUGGAGGAACACCAGUGGCGAAAGCGGCUCUCUGGUCUGUAACUGACGCUGAGGCGCGAAAGCGUGGGGAGCAAACAGG